rnacentral:rRNA from 1 species
CCUACGGGAGGCAGCAGUGAGGAAUAUUGGUCAAUGGCCGGAAGGCUGAACCAGCCAAGCCGCGUGAGGGAGGAAGGCGCAGAGCGUCGCAGACCUCUUUUGCCGGGGGACAAAAGGCCGGACGCGUCCGGUCCUGAGGGUACCCGGAGAAAAAGCAUCGGCCAACUCCGUGCCAGCAGCCGCGGUAAUACGGAGGAUGCUCGCGUUAGCCGGAUGCAUUGGGUUUAAAGGGUGCGCAGGAGGGCCUUUAAGCCGGCGGUGAAAUCGCGGGGCGCAACCCCGCCGAGCCGUCGGAACUGGGGGCCUUGAGUGCGGCGGAGCCAUGCGGCAUGCGCGGUGUAGCGGUGACAUGCAUAGCUAUCCCGC